rnacentral:tRNA from 1 species
GGGUAUAGCUCAGUGGUAGAGCACGUGCUUAGCAUGCACAAGGUCCUGAGUUCAAUCCCCAGUACCGCCA